rnacentral:lncRNA from 1 species
UGGGACAAAAAAACUCUGUUGUAAAAUUCCAAUCCAUGUGCUCUGGUGUGUGCAGCUCAGAUCAUAACAAUCACAAUAGACACACACACUUAGAGCAUUUGCUGUGUGCCACGAAGACACCAAUUCAUUCCACCCUUACAAUAAUCCUAUGAAGUCACUAUUACUAUUAUCCUUGUCUUCAAUAUUGUAAUUGUUUUUCUCACCUCCUCAGGGCCUAUCCCUUUUUUUAAGAUAAGGAUACUCUACAGAGAGAGGUUAAGUAUGUUACCCUAAAUUGCACAGCUAGGAAGUGCCCAAGUGGGGAUUUAAACUUAAGUCACCUGUCCUCGGAGGCAGUCCUGAAAGAUUCUUGCCUACAGGGGCUGCUGCAUCUGACUCUGCAGUUGUGCAUGUCACGGCCACUGGGAAAUGGUGCCCUCUGAAGUUGUGCAAUGCUAUAGUCCCAUAACAACGUUUUUUUUUUUUUGUUUUUUGUUUUUUUUCAGAGUCUCUCUCUGUUGCCUAGGCUGGAGUGCAGUGGUAUGAUCUUAGCUCACUGCAACCUCUGCCUCCUGGGCUCAAGCUAUUCUCCUGCCUCAGCCUCCUGAGUAACCGAAAUUACAGCUGUGUGCCACCACGCCUGGCUAAUUUUUGUAUUUUUAGUAGAGAUGGGAUUUCACCAUGUUGGCCAGGCCAGGCCAGUCUUGAACUCCCUACCUCAAGUGAUCUGCCCGCCUCGGCUUCCCAAAGUGCUGAGAUUACAGUCAUGAGCCACCACGCCCAGCCAACAAUGGUUCUUUGUUGCAUGGAAACUCUAGAGGGGCUAUGUAGACAAGGACAAGGGCCGCCGUGGUGUUUUUCUGGGUGGACUGAUAGCUGAGGACCAGAUUCUCCCACCCUCACCCCACUUCCAUGCUGAAGGUUGCAGGACUGUGCUACAAACCCUGGAAGGACUGAGAUGACAUAUUCCAUGGGCACAGUGGCCUGGAGGACCAAAGGCUGAGGUAAUAGGAUGUGGUGAGUUGAAUUAUGUCUCCCCCAAAAACAAUUUGUCCAUCUGAAACCUCAGAAUAUGACCUUAUUUGGAAGGAGAGGCUUUGUACAUGUGAUUAAGGUCAGAAUCUGGAGAUGAGGUUAUCCUGGAUGAGAGUGGGCCCUAAGGCCAAUGAGAUAGAAAAGGAGAAGACAUACAGAGACACGGGAAGAAACCCAUGCACAUGAAGAUGGAGGCAGAGAUUGGAGUGGGGCAGCCACAGCCACGGAUCACCAGGAACCACCAGAAGCUGGAGGAGGCCAGGAAGGGCGUGCUAGAGGGAGCACAGCUCUGCUAACAACUUGAUUUUGGACUUGAGGCCUCCAAAACUGUGAGGUGCUCAAUUAAUGUCUGGGGAGAAAAGGAAGUAAGAAAAGGAAGGAAAGAAGGAAUGAGGAUGGCCAGGCGGGGUGGCUCACGCCUGUAAACCAGCACUUUGGGAGGUCGAGGUGGGCAGAUCACGAGGUCAUGAGACUGAGACCAUCCUGGCUAACACGGUGAAACCCUGUCUCUACUAAAGAUACAAAAAAUUAGCCGGGCGUGGUGGCGGGUGCCCAUAGUCCCAGCUACUCGGGAGGCUGAGGCAGGAGAAUGGCGUGAACCCGGGAGGCGGAGCUUGCAGUGAGCCGAGAUCGCGCCACUGCACUCCAGCCCGGGCGACAGAGCAAGACUCCGUCUCAAAAAAAAAAAAAAAAAAAAAAAAAAAGGAAAGAAAAAAAAAAGAAAAGAAAAAGAAGGAAUGGAUGAGGUAAUCCUCCCAGCGGUAUGUCAGGACACUCCUAAGACACAAAGUCUGCAGAGCGGUACUUUUCCUAGGGUCUCCACCCUCACCCUGAUCAUAGGCGUGCAGCGUGCAGUCCCACCCUGUUUCAGCGACUGCCACUUAACAAUCUGCCCUAAAACUUGGUGCUUAAAUCUACAACCUAUUUUCUAUUACAUGUAUUAUAAAUUAUGUACAACUUACAUAAUUAUAAGUUUUAUAUAAUGAUGACAUCUAUUAUUUCACAAUAUAAUGUAAUUACUUAUUUCCACAUCUGCCUUGUGAGACUGUGAAUCUCACAAUUAAUUUAUAAUAAGUCAUAUAUUACAUAUUAUAUAUAUAAUAAACCUAUCACAAACUAUUGUAUCUCUUGAUUUUGUGGGUCAGGAAUUUGGAAAAUUUUUUCUGCUCCUCACUGGUGUUGCUGGAAGUCGCUCCACAGCUGGCAGAUGAGCUGGCUGGGAAGAUACAAGGUGGCUGCACUCACUAUUGGGGGCCCUAGCUCGGAUGCCUGCCAGGCUGGGCUCAGCUGGGACUGCCUCCUACACGUGGCCUCUCCAGCAUGGUGACGUCACGGAAGCCUCAGACUCCUCACACAGAUGCUGGAUUCCCCGGAGGGAGUGUUUCCAGGGGUCCCCUGCAGAAUCAGCAAGCAACGCUUCUGACACCUGCCUCGGAAGGGCCAGAGCACCUCUGCUGUUGUGGUCCAUUGGCAAGCCAAUCACUAAGGCUGGCCUGUACUCAAAGGAAGAAUUAGAUCCCACCUCUCCAUGGGCCGCGCAGCAGAUAAUUCGGGGUCUUGGUUAAUCUACCAUGUUCUUUCUCUCCACUGCAGGUGUGUUAAACCGGAGGCCACUGGGUCUCUUGGACAACUAGCAGUGAAUCUGUGAAUCCCCUGAGUGCACAGUUUUAAAUAAAUGUGCAAAAUGUGCAUUUUUUUUUCAGGGAAAUCUGAACUAACAAGAUUUUGAAUCACUCACCAAAUGGCGGUCUUCCUUUUAACUGAGUCUUAUCUCAUCCUACUACAAAAAUUUCCCAAGAAAAUGUGAAGAGUCUUGAUACGGAGCUCAGGCAGUCACGUGAGUGAAGGGGAGCGGCUGUAAACACAGAUGAAGC